rnacentral:ncRNA from 2 species
GAAUUGAACGGUCUCCGAUUUUGGGAACCUAAGGCCGCGGCGAUGGUUCCCAAAACGAUAGGGUAAGAAGGGAAACGUUCUUGCCUUUCGAUCCCCGCUUGCGGGUGGGGUGAAUUACAAAGGAGAAAAGAAUUUGAAGCA